CCUUACCAACCCUUGACAUCUGGAUCGCGGUUUUCCGAGAGGAAUUCCUUCAGUUCGGCUGGAUCCAAGACAGGUGCUGCAUGGCUGUCGUCAGCUCGUGUCGUGAGAUGUUCGGUUAAGUCCGGCAACGAGCGCAACCCACGUCCUUAGUUGCCAGCAGUUCGGCUGGGCACUCUAAGGAAACUGCCGGUGAUAAGCCGGAGGAAGGUGUGGAUGACGUCAAGUCCUCAUGGCCCUUACGGGUUGGGCUACACA
rnacentral:rRNA from 1 species